GUUUGACCUCGGAUCAGGUAGGAAUACCCGCUGAACUUAAGC
rnacentral:rRNA from 2 species